UGCAUUCACUACUGUAAGUCGCUCUGGAUAAGAGCGUCUGCUAAAUGACGUGAA
rfam:Salmo salar isolate Sally breed double haploid chromosome ssa07, whole genome shotgun sequence.